rnacentral:rRNA from 1 species
UCCUGGCUUAGGAUGAACGCUGGCGGCGUGCCUAAUACAUGCAAGUCGAACGGUGAAGUUACUUCGGUAACGGAUCAGUGGCGAACGGGUGAGUAAUAUACGAACAACCUACCCCUUGACUGGGAUAACACACUGAAAAGCGUGCUAAUACCGGAUAGGCAAUCGAGAGGCAUCUCUUGAUUAUUAAAGGAGCGUCUGCUCCACAUUGGGAUGGGUUCAUAUCGCAUUAGCUAGUUGGUGAGGUAACGGCCCACCAAGGCUGUGAUGCGUAGCCGAUCUGAGAGGAUGACCGGCCACAUUGGGACUGAGACACGGCCCAGACUCCUACGGGAGGCAGCAGUAGGGAAUUUUCGGCAAUGGGGGAAACCUUGACCGAGCAACGCCGCGUGAACGAUGAAGGUCUUAUGGAUUGUAAAGUUCUGUUACGAGGGAAGAAUACCAUGGAUAGGAAAUGAUCUGUGGCUGACGGUACCUCGCCAGAAAGCCACGGCUAACUACGUGCCAGCCGCGGC